GUGUCCGUAGCUCAGCUGGAUAGAGCGUCGGCCUCCGGAGCCGAAGGUCUCGGGUUCAAAUCCCGACGGGCACGCCA
rnacentral:tRNA from 4 species